rnacentral:rRNA from 1 species
UACGGAGGGGGCGAGCGUUAUUCGGAAUUAUUGGGCGUAAAGGGCGCGUAGGCGGCUUGACAAGUCAAAGGUGAAAUCCCUCGGCUCAACUGAGGAACUGCCUUUGAAACUGUCUGGCUUGAGGCCGGGAGGGGGUAGCGGAAUUCCCAGUGUAGCGGUGAAAUGCGUAGAUAUUGGGAGGAACACCAGUGGCGAAGGCGGCUACCUGGACCGGUUCUGACGCUGAUGCGCGAAAGCUAGGGGAGCGAACAGG